rnacentral:rRNA from 1 species
UAGGGAAUCUUCCGCAAUGGACGAAAGUCUGACGGAGCAACGCCGCGUGAGUGAAGAAGGAUUUCGGUUCGUAAAACUCUGUUGUUAGGGAAGAAAAAAUGUAUAGUAACUAUAUACAAAAGAGACGGUACCUAACCAGAAAGCCACGGCUAACUACGUGCCAGCAGCCGCGGUAAUACGGAGGUGGCAAGCGUUGUCCGGAAUUAUUGGGCGUAAAGCGCGCGCAGGUGGUUUAGAAAGUCUGAUGUGAAAGCCCACGGCUCAACCGUGGAGGGUCAUUGGAAACUAAUAAACUUGAGUGCAGGAGAGAAAAGUGGAAUUCCUAGUGUAGCGGUGAAAUGCGUAGAGAUUAGGAGGAACACCGGUGGCGAAAGCGGCUUUUUGGCCUGCAACUGACACUGAGGCGCGAAAGCGUGGGGAGCAAACAGG